rnacentral:rRNA from 1 species
UACGUAGGGUGCGAGCGUUAAUCGGAAUUACUGGGCGUAAAGGGCUCGUAGGCGGCCAACUAAGUCAGAUGUGAAAUCCCUCGGCUUAACCGGGGAACUGCGUCUGAUACUGGAUGGCUUGAAUCCGGGAGAGGGAUGCGGAAUUCCAGGUGUAGCGGUGAAAUGCGUAGAUAUCUGGAGGAACACCGGUGGCGAAGGCGGCAUCCUGGACCGGCAUUGACGCUGAGGAGCGAAAGCGAGGGGAGCAAACGGG